UAUUAUUAAAUAAAUGAUCGUAUUAUUAAAAUGUAAUAAAUCUAUACGCAUCGAAGAAAGAUAUAUCAAAUAAUUACUGUAUAUCGAUUAUUGAAAACCAUCGAAAAGAAGGUUAUGCUUGUCGUCAAGUGAAAAAUUUUAUGUGUAUGUAUGUGUAUGUAUUAUAUGCGUGCGUGUUACUAUACUAUUUAUUCACUUUUAAAUGAAUAACUAAAGAACAACAUGCCGAAUUAUUAAUAUUAUGUGUUAGAAAUAAGAUAAUUAUCAUUUUAAAUUAUCGUGUACCUGGAUGUUCGAAUUAACUAAUUUUGUUUAUCUAAGAUAUAUAUACAAUAUAUAUCUAGAAAUCAUUUCUUUUCAUUGGAAAUUGUCUGAUAUAUCAUAGAGAUUUGAUCUGAAAAGAAGACGCUGAAUAUUUUGACAAAUUUGUAUCAAUGUUAUACAAGCUAAUUUAAAGAUAAGAAAAAGAUUUAAAUAUAUUUGUAAAAUGUCUGGAAACAAUGCAAUGACAGUAGAUACGCUCAGAAGUGGGAACAUACCCAAUCGUAAUUCGACAAGAUCAACGCUUUUGAAAGUAGUGAUUUUGGGUGACGGCGGAGUUGGAAAGUCUUGUCUUAUGAAUAGAUUUGUAUCCAAUCAUUUUGAUGAACACAAUUUUUAUACCAUCGGUGUAGAAUUUUUAAACAAAGAUAUAGAAAUCAAUGGUGAAUCUUAUACUUUACAAAUAUGGGAUACAGCAGGACAAGAAAGAUUUAAAACUUUGAGAACUCCGUUCUAUAGAGGUUCUGAUAUUUGUCUUUUAACUUAUGCUGUUGAUGAUAAAACAAGUUUUAAGAAUUUAGCUCUGUGGAGAUCAGAGUUUCUUUAUUAUGCUGAUGUCGAGGAAGCAUCUACGUUUCCAUUUAUAGUUGUAGGAAAUAAGGUGGAUGUUGUGGAAUCGGAGAAACAAGUAACCACAGAAGAAGCCAAAGCAUGGUGUGCAGAAAAUGGGGAUCCACCAUUGGUAGAAACGUCUGCGAAGGAUGCAACUAAUGUAGAAGCAGCUUUUGCAGCAGCUGUUGCUGCAUGGGCACGACUGGAAGCUAAAUUAGAACAUCCGAUAGUUGAAGAUACCGUCGACCUUUCUAAACAACUGUCUCCGCAACGUUCCAGUUGCUGUAUGCCUGUUUCCGGUGCCGAAUCUACAUUUGUGACCAGCUAACUGAAAUGGGUUCUUAUGAAGAUAUAGACAUGAUAAGAAAUAUUUAUGAUACGAAUCAACAUUUUUGGAAGGAACACUUUAGAGUUUCUUUACAAUUGGAAGGAACAUAAUGCGUCUCAAAUUGAACUAAUUCCUAAAAUGGUGUUUAAACUGUAUUUAGGAUGUAUAAGGACAUUGUACCAAAUAAUGUAAGAGAGAGAUUAUUAUUUUCCUUUGAUUUCAACGAUUGACAGUCUACUUAUUUAGUUUCUUAACAUUCUUCCACAAUAGCAAAAUUCAUUUUGUAGCACUUUGUUCGAUAUUAAACCAAGAUUCUUUUUAAUUAUAUCUAACUAGGUCUAACAAAAUAAUUUGAAGAGAAUCUUGCCCAGCCUUCAAUACUCGAUUGUUAAUUACGAGGCCAAUGUUUCAAAUAUGCUUGAAAUAAGUCCAUGAACAAAUAUUUCGGUAUAAUAUUUCUUGUGUGUUAUAUAUAACAAUUUUUUAGAUGUUUUCUCAAGAAAAAUAUUUAUGUUAUUAAAGUUUCUGCACAAAUCUUAUUAACAGGACUGUUAGUUUUAAUUUGCUAUUAUUAUAGUACGUGCUCCGUAUAUCUUUGAGUAUCUUACAUACAAAUUAUAAAAAAAUAAUUAACGUGUAAGAUACGUAUUGCUGGAAUAUUAAAAAAGAAAGGAAAAAAAAAAACAAAGAGAAAGAACAAUUAAUAAUAUUUCAAAAUGUGCUUUACACAGAUCGUAAGCUAUUGACAGUAUUUUAAGUGUUAUACACAUCAUCAGCUUGUGAUAAAUAUAGUAAUAAUACUAUUAAUAAUAAGAAUAAUAAUUAAUGAUUAUUAUAAUAAUAACGAUAAUAAUAAUUAAUUGUUUUAUUACGUAAAACAUACAACAUAUAAAAAGAUUAUAAUUAAGCUUCGUAACGUAAAUUUGCCUUAUCAUUGCAGUAUAAAAUUAAGAACAGUAUGAUAACUAUAUUUCUAUUUAUGAUAUAUUCCUUUAAAUUAUCAAUCUAUAUACAGAAUGUCUGAGAUUUUUUCAGCUAAGCUGCGUCAGCGUAUUUUAUCUAGGAAAAUUAGAACAAAAUGUUAAAUAAACAUAGGUCAUUUAAAGCUUUAUUUAAAAGCUGCAAACAUUUGUUAUAUAUUUGAUUUGUGCAACAGAAAUACUCGAAUUGUUGUAAGUGAGUAUCAAUGCAAAUUUCUUGGCAGAAGAGUCAAGUAUUUCUCAGUGUUUUCGAAUGUACAUUCAUAAUCACGUGAAACAGGUUCACUGUCCUACAGUAGUGUCUAUUAUUUUUUUAUUUUUAUACAUAGAAUAUGCUAACACCGUUUGGUUGGAGAAACCUCAGAUAUCCUGUAUAUAUACACAUAAUAUCUACAUUUAUAUGUAUAUGUAUACAUAUAAAAUUAACAUUUGUAUGAGAAGUACAGAAUAUUUUGCGCUAACUGUUUGACAAUUUUCCUACGAAAAUAAUAAUAAUAAUAAUAAUAAUGAUAAUGAUAAUAUGCGAGAUAAAAAGAAAGCUUUUUGGAUGAGUGUGUACAUAUCUGAUAAGUUCUUAAAGCAAUAGAAUUCUACUUUAAAGCUUUAGAAAUGUGUUAUACGCUAUUGCAAAAAAGUACACGAAUAUAUUGUAUGACAAAUUGUUCUUAAGUAAAAAAUUUGAGAUCAAUCAUGUACACGACAUGCAUGCUGGUGCUUUUUGUAUAGCUCUAUGUGAAACGUAUAAAUUUAUAAUAAAAUAUGAAGUAUUAA
rnacentral:misc_RNA from 1 species